rnacentral:rRNA from 1 species
UACGGAGGGUGCAAGCGUUAUCCGGAUUCACUGGGUUUAAAGGGUGCGUAGGUGGGUCUGUAAGUCAGUGGUGAAAUCUCCAGGCUUAACCUGGAAACUGCCAUUGAUACUAUAGGUCUUGAAUUUUCUGGAGGUUAGCGGAAUAUGUCAUGUAGCGGUGAAAUGCUUAGAUAUGACAUAGAACACCAAUUGCGAAGGCAGCUGGCUACAGAAAUAUUGACACUGAGGCACGAAAGCGUGGGGAUCAAACAGG